GGGAUGAUCUGCUGAACCAAUCAUAAAUAAAACAACAUAGCGUAUAACUGUGUAUGAUGACAAAUUGUAGAAGUUAUAUUCACAAAUGGCCACUCACACUUUUGCUGAAGUUUGCAAUCCUUGAAUAUUUUCCUAUUCAAGGCUUGCAAACUUCAGCAAAAGUGUGAGUGGCCAUUUGUGAAUAUAACUUCUACAAUUUGUCAUCAUACACAGUUAUACGCUAUGUUGUUUUAUUUAUGAUUGGUUCAGCAGAUCAUCCC